GGCCGCCGGGUGUCUCAGCUUCUGCAGGGUGCUCCCGCCGAGCACGGGAUGGCAGUGCCCGAUGAAAUGCCAGUGAGUGGAAAGAAGCUGGGACCCUUUCCUUCCACCCUGUUUAUCAGCCCUGCGACUGCCUUGGGGCGGACCUUAGGUACCCUGCUUGAGAGGGGCUCUAACUACACGCAUCCUCAGCAGAGUUGCACCCUGGAGGCAUCGCUGUGGUUGCAGUCUCCUCAGUGACUAGAUGGGUCCAGAAUUCGCCAGUAAAAUGAAGGCCUGAAAAGUAAUUACAGGAGGUGAGGCACGAAUCAGGAUUAAUUGAGAAGGAAAGAGGAAGAUGCCUGGAGCCAACUCCAUGAGGGGAGGAAGAGCAGCAGCAUCAGUGAGCAUGAGCACGGGGCCACUUGCUUCAUGUUCCAUUGGAUGUCUUGAAAAGAUCCUGAGUUCAGAUAUGCACCCACUUAUUCUUCAUCACCAUUUCCACUUUACAAAAGAGAACACCGAAGCACGGAGGAGUUGAGUAUCUCGUUCAGUUCACAAACCUAGAAGGUGGCAGUGGAGCCAGGAGUGGAACUCAGGUGGUCAGGAUCCAGAAGUCCAAUGAUCAUCACAGAGACAAGCACCGGUGGCAGAGCUAACAACUGGAAGACAUGAUAGCAGUCUCCGAUGGAUGUCUUCCCUUCCGCUGGGGUCCAGGCCACAAAUAGAUGUAGAGGCUGGCAGGUGAAUUCGCAGCCAGAGCUCAAAAGUGUGUAGGCCUGGGCCAAAGUCCUAGGCGAUCUGGAAGUUUCUCUUACCCUGAAAGAUAGAAUUAAGUCUUUGAAUGCACAACAGGUUUUUUGUUUUGUUUUUGUUUUUUAUAAAAGUACAGUCAUACUUAAAGGAAAGAGCUUCUAGAAAUCGAACAAUUAUGAAUGAAAAAAGACUAGAAAUUUUCACUAAAGUAUUGACAAUUGAGUAUCUUUAGUGCUAGAAAUGUGGGUGAUUUAAAAUGUUUUAUGUAGCCCUGGCCAGGUAGCUCACUUGGUUAAAGCAUCUCCUGACACAGCAAGGUUGCAGGUUCGAUCCCUGGG